CCCAGCCACUCCUCUGUCAUGAUGGGCCCAAUUGGAGUGAGUGGCAUUACACCAUGUCACGAUGCCCAGAGUGAGGAGCCCAGGCCAAGCCCCGCAGGACAGGAGCUGUGGCUGCAGGGUGAUGAUGGGGUGUUUGCUCAUUGAUUUGCAAAUCAGCCCAGUUUCACUUGAAGUGGCGCCUAGGUUCAGCUGAAAGGCUCCCACAAACCUUUUCAUGAACCUGCUCUGAGCUAGUAAUGACACCCACAAGCAGGCGACUUGGUGUGAUUUCAGGUUUUGUUCCGAACAUUUUGUACGUUCUAGCCAGGAGUCUUUUCCAAAUGAGGAGGAGCCAUGCAAACCCACUGAGAGCUGUAACUCUGUUAUGCGAGAUGCAUAGUCCGACACCACAGUGAGAUGAGAAUUCCUGCUUCACAUCCCAUAACUGAAUAAGAACUGAGCAGAAACCUGU